UUUGCUGCAGCUGCCUCUAACGCCUCCAGAUGGCGCGCUGGUGCUCGUUCUCGGCUCUCAGCGACCGGCCAAUUGCCAGCUGCUGGGGAGAAUGAGCUUGGAGCCGCAGGGCUUAAUCCCGCGCGGCUCAGAGAUGGGUUUCUGGACUCGCGAAGCAGCUGCAACAAGGCAUCACUCACUGUACAAGUAUUUCCAUUUCUGAGAGCAAAAGGAAGAACUUAAGCGGGCGGCACUUGGAGUGUAAAUUGCUUUGUAGUAUUUAAAGGCAGAAUGGAUCCUGGGCAGCCGAGCUGGUACAUUUGGAUACUAAAUCUUUCAUAAUUACUGAAGGAACAUGACUGGUCCUAAAAUGCAAGUGGGCAUAAACAGGGAACGAAAUGACAGGUGAGACUACAUUUUAAGUGAUUUAUUAUUAUUUCCCAAUUAAAAUCAAAGCAACAGGAUGGGUCAAGUAAUUCAAUAUGCACUUUAAUUAGCAAGAAAAAUAUUAAUUAAGCUUGACUAUUAAAAUGACUUUUAUGUUAUUUUAAUAAUAACUAGUAAUAACUUUGCAAGAGGCAAAUUAAACAAAACUAAACUUUGAUUUAAUAAUUCACUGAGCCUAACAGCUGAACUGUAUCGUUCAGAUAUUAUUAGCAAGAGUCUGAAGAUAAAAACAUCAUUUCAGGCUUUAAGUUUCUAUCAUUUCAGGAAAAAGAUUCCAUCUGUACUCUUGAUGAAGGAUAUGGGCUCAAGAGAUAUUUCAAAAGCAACAGCUGAAGGAAUACCACUAAGAUAAUUUUUUCCAGAAUCCCCCCCAUGCCAGUAAUGGAAAAACAAAAUGGAACAAAGGAAAAAUAAGGUUUUUAUCCACAACAUGGCAAUAAGAAAUGCUGGUGAGGAUGUGCAGAAACGGGAACCCUCAUACACUAUUGAUGAGAAGCUUUGGAUGUUUAAAAGUCUGCAGCACCUCCCACCUUGCCCUCUUCCUCAUUCUCCGGCCAUGAGAGAUGUUCUUGCUUCCCUUUCACCUUCUGCCAUAAUUGUACAUUUCCUGAGGCCUCCGCAGACAUGCUUCCUGUACAGCCUGCAAAACUGA
rnacentral:lncRNA from 1 species